rnacentral:rRNA from 1 species
ACUCCUACGGGAGGCAGCAGUGGGGAAUUUUGGACAAUGGGCGCAAGCCUGAUCCAGCAAUGCCGCGUGCAGGAUGAAGGCCUUCGGGUUGUAAACUGCUUUUGUACGGAACGAAACGGUGAGCUCUAAUACAGUUUGCUAAUGACGGUACCGUAAGAAUAAGCACCGGCUAACUACGUGCCAGCAGCCGCGGUAAUAC